rnacentral:rRNA from 1 species
AUUGAACGCUGGCGGCAGGCCUAACACAUGCAAGUCGAACGGUAGCACAGAGAGCUUGCUCUCGGGUGACGAGUGGCGGACGGGUGAGUAACGUCUGGGAAACUGCCCGAUGGAGGGGGAUAACUACUGGAAACGGUAGCUAAUACCGCAUAACGUCGCAAGACCAAAGUGGGGGACCUUCGGGCCUCACACCAUCGGAUGUGCCCAGAUGGGAUUAGCUAGUGGGUGGGGUAAUGGCUCACCUAGGCGACGAUCCCUAGCUGGUCUGAGAGGAUGACCAGCCACACGGGAACUGAGACACGGUCCAGACUCCUACGGGAGGCAGCAGUGGGGAAUAUUGCACAAUGGGCGCAAGCCUGAUGCAGCCAUGCCGCGUGUAUGAAGAAGGCCUUCGGGUUGUAAAGUACUUUCAGCAGGGAGGAAGGCGGUGGAGUUAAUAACUUCACCGAUUGACGUUACCCGCAGAAGAAGCACCGGCUAACUCCGUGCCAGCCGCCGCCGCGG